rnacentral:rRNA from 1 species
UCCGGUUGAUCCUGCCGGACCCGACUGCUAUCAGAGUGGGACUAAGCCAUGCGAGUCAACAUAGCAAUAUGUGGCAUACGGCUCAGUAACACGUAGUCAACAUGCCCAGGGGACGUGGAUAACCUCGGGAAACUGAGGAUAAACCGCGAUAAGUCGCUGCUUCUGGAAUGGGCAAUGACUUAAAUCUAUAUGGCCCCUGGAUUGGACUGCGGCCGAUCAGGCUGUUGGUGAGGUAAUGGCCCACCAAACCUGUAACCGGUACGGGCUCUGAGAGGAGGAGCCCGGAGAUGGGCACUGAGACAAGGGCCCAGGCCCUAUGGGGCGCAGCAGGCGCGAAACCUCUGCAAUAGGCGAAAGCCUGACAGGGUUACUCUGAGUGAUUUCCGUUAAGGAGAUCUUUUGGCACCUCUAAAAAUGGUGCAGAAUAAGGGGUGGGCAAGUCUGGUGUCAGCCGCCGCGGUAAUACCAGCACCCCGAGUGGUCGGGACGUUUAUUGGGCCUAAAGCAUCCGUAGCCGGUUCUGCAAGUCUUCCGUUAAAUCCACCUGCUUAACAGAUGGGCUGCGGAAGAUACUAUAGAGCUAGGAGGCGGGAGAGGCAAGCGGUACUCGAUGGGUAGGGGUAAAAUCCGUUGAUCCAUUGAAGACCACCAGUGGCGAAGGCGGCUUGCCAGAACGCGCUCGACGGUGAGGGAUGAAAGCUGGGGGAGCAAACCGGAUUAGAUACCCGGGUAGUCCCAGCUGUAAACGAUGCAGACUCGGUGAUGAAUUGGCUUUAUGCCAAUUCAGUGCCCAGGGAAGCCGUUAAGUUUGCCGCCUGGGGAGUACGGUCGCAAGACUGAAACUUAAAGGAAUUGGCGGGGGAGCACCACAAGGGGUGAAGCCUGCGGUUCAAUUGGAGGCAACGCCGGAAAUCUUACCGGGGGCGACAGCAGAAUGAAGGUCAAGCUGAAGACUUUACCAGACAAGCUGAGAGGAGGUGCAUGGCCGUCGCCAGCUCGUGCCGUGAGGUGUCCUGUUAAGUCAGGUAACGAGCGAGACCCCUGCCUCUAGUUGCUACCAUUAUUCUCAGGAGUAGUGGAGCUAAUUAGAGGGACUGCCGUCGCUGAGACGGAGGAAGGAGGGGGCUACGGCAGGUCAGUAUGCCCCGAAACCCUCGGGCCACACGCGGGCUGCAAUGGUAAGGACAAUGAGUAUCGAUUCCGAAAGGAGGAGGCAAUCUCUAAACCUUACCACAGUUAUGAUUGAGGGCUGAAACUCGCCCUCAUGAUAUGGAAUCCCUAGUAACCGCGUGUCACUAUCGCGCGGUGAAUACGUCCCUGCUCCUUGCACACACCGCCCGUCGCUUCAUCGAAGUUGGUUCUUGGCGAGGUGAUGCCUAAUUGGUACUAUCGAACCUGGGGUCAGCAACGAGGGAG